AAUCUUCCGCAAUGGACCAGAGUCUGACGGAGCAACGCCGCGUGUGUGCAGAUGGUUUUCGGAUUGUAAAACCUUGUUGUCGGAGAAGAAGAAGUAGGACAGUAACCCUUCCUACCUUGUCGGUACCCGACCAUAAAGCCACCGCUACCUACGUGCCAGCAGCCGCGGUAAUACUUAGGUUGCAAGCGUUCUCCGGAUUUCUUGGGCGUAAAGCGAGCGGAGGUGGUUUAUUAAGUCUGAUGUGAAAGCCGAGGGCUCAACCGGGGAAGGUCAUUGAAAACUGGGGAACUUGAAUGCAGAAGAGGAGAGUGGAAUUCCAUGUGUAGCGGUGAAAUGCGUAGAUAUAUGGAGGAACACCAGUGGCGAAGGCGACUCUCUGGUCUGUUAUUGACACUGAGGCUCGAAAGCGUGGGGAGCAAAC
rnacentral:rRNA from 1 species